UGCUUGCAAAACCUUCGCGGACGAAGUCGCGGGUAACAGCUAGUUUGUGACAUGUCACUGCUCAAACUACUCGUCCAAGCUAACUGCUUCGAGAACAUCAUCUCGAGUUUGUCGAUGUCACCGAUAUAGUAAUAAUUUUAGAAAUUUUUUUUACCUUGCAACAACUCUAGUUUAUAACCUUUACCAUACAUAUUAUUUUUUCAGAUCCAUCCAAAGAAGAUGUGGUAAAGUUUUCCAAACCUGAUUAUCUUUCAAGUGAUUUUGUGAUUUCUCCGAAUGAAAUACAUAAACAUAUAACAUUUCCUUUUUCCACGCUCUGUAAGUACAAGAAAUUCAGAUGUAAAUUAAACAAACUGAAUGGAACUGAAUUCAAUAAUUUUGUGGAACAAGUAAAAAAUGGGG